UACGGGGGGGGCAAGCGUUGUUCGGAAUUACUGGGCGUAAAGGGCUCGUAGGUGGCCAACUAAGUCAGACGUGAAAUCCCUCGGCUUAACCGGGGAACUGCGUCUGAUACUGGAUGGCUUGAGUUCGGGAGAGGGAUGCGGAAUUCCAGGUGUAGCGGUGAAAUGCGUAGAUAUCUGGAGGAACACCGGUGGCGAAGGCGGCUAUCUGGACCGACAUUGACGCUGAGGCGCGAAAGCGUGGGGAGCAAACAGG
rnacentral:rRNA from 1 species